rnacentral:rRNA from 1 species
UACGGAGGGGGCUAGCGUUGUUCGGAAUUACUGGGCGUAAAGCGCGCGUAGGCGGACCUGCAAGUCGGGGGUGAAAGCCCGAGGCUCAACCUCGGAACUGCCUUCGAUACUGCGGGUCUCGAGUCCGGGAGAGGUGAGUGGAAUUCCUAGUGUAGAGGUGAAAUUCGUAGAUAUUAGGAAGAACACCCGUGGCGAAGGCGGCCAGCUGGGCCGUCCCUGACGCUGAGGCGCGAAGGCGUGGGGAGCGAACGGG